UGAAUUGAAAGUGAUUGUGGAUGAUGUGGUUCACAGAGUACAAUGAGUCUGUGUAGCUGCUUUGGAUUCUUGCUGUUUGUCCUCCACAAUCUCCCAGGCACCACAGAGGAUUUCUUCCUAGAUUCGUCUCAUUCUGCCUUUCCCAUCACCUUCGGUUUGGGAGUCAUCUUCAUGUCUGUUAUUUUAGUCGUUUUUGCUGCAUAUAAAUGGAAACAAAACAAAAACAGAAACAAAGAGAGGGAGCACCUUAAGACAACUGAGAAGAAUUCAAUCAAGGCUUUCCAUACAGGACAAAGAGACAAUGAGACCAAGAAUUUGGAGGAUGAAAUUGAUGAAAUUCAGCCUCUCCGAGACCAGAAUCAGAGCAUGGAGAACGAGCUGCAGACCUUGAAGAGAGAGCUGGAGACCAACAAAAAACAGUUGGAGGAUAAAAUAGAUGAAAUGCAGCAUCUCCGAGACCAGAAUCAGAGCAUGGAGAAUGAGCUGCAGACCUUGACGAGAGAGCUGGAGACCAACAAAAAACAGGUUAAUCUCUUCACUAAAAUCUGCAUUUCAUCUCUCCCUCUUUAUUUCUUCUCUACAAGAUAUGGUUUUGUUUUCAGAUAUCUCCUUACUGGUUGUCAGUU
rnacentral:lncRNA from 15 species